UACAGAGGUGGCGAGCGUUGUUCGGAUUUACUGGGCGUAAAGGGCGCGUAGGCGGCCGCGUGUGUCGCGUGUGAAAUCCCCGGGCUCAACCCGGGAAGUGCGCGCGAAACUGCGGGGCUCGAGCGGAGGAGGGGAGAGCGGAAUUCAUGGUGUAGCGGUGAAAUGCGUUGAUAUCAUGAGGAACACCGGUGGCGAAGGCGGCUCUCUGGAAUCCUGCUGACGCUGAGGCGCGAAAGUCGGGGGAGCAAACAGGAUUAGAUACCCCGGUA
rnacentral:rRNA from 1 species